UUGGAUUUGCAAGGCAGACCUAGGAGAGAAUCAACUCCAGUGUGCAACACUGCCAAGGAGGCAGAGGAGCCUGGAAUGAGUUUGAUACAACUCCAAGGAGGGCAAAACGUGCAUAAGAAAAGGAUUGAGUUGGAGCCCUUGAGCUGCAGAUUUGACACCUCUAUGCCAAGG